AACCACAUACUUUUUAUACAUAUCAAACCAGUUCAUUUACAGGACUAGGCUAUUUACAAAAGAUCUAUAGAAGAUCAGUCCUCAAAAACUAGGCUAUCCUAAGAUCAGCUAGACAGGUCCAUUCGCCAGCUCUUCAGUCGGGAUCGGCGAAGUCAAAAAUCCUCUCAGUGAGGACCUCACUGGUCUACCAAAAAGCUCCGGAGGAUCCGCCAUCUAGGGACCUGAAAUAUUAUCCCACAACCGGGAUGAGACGAUGUCUCAGCGAGUCCUACCCUCUAAAACUCAAUUAGGAAGAAAAUAAGCCCCAGGGUGCUCUAGCCACACAAAGAGAAUAGAGGACUUACCUCGCCUCAGUCCUUCCUGCACGUCAGUGCAACUCAUACGUCGAUAAAUUCAUACUAUAUAUCAAUUCAUAUCAUCUAUCAAUUCAUACCAUCUAUUCAUCCAUUAAUAAAUCACGGCUCACACAAGCUGAUAUAGAUGGUAGCUCGCACAAGCUGAUAUAUGCAUAGAUGAUAGCUCACACAAGCUGAUGUAUGGAUCGAUGCUCUGAUGCUCUCACAAGCUGACAUAUAUAAACCAAUUGCUCGCCAAAGCGGAUAAUUCAAUAAUAAACCAACUCAUAUCUCAAUUCAAUCAAUCAAUCAAUCCAAUCGAUUCAAAUUGGUCAUACAAAUCAAUUACGGUGCUAAAAGCUAACACCGGGUAUUUUCAAGUUAAAUACCACAACUUCAUCAAUUUCACACAAUUCCACACUUUUGGAAUUAUUAACCAUAAUUAUCAAUCACUCAAUUUCUCAAUUUAAACAUACAAUUAGCACAAACCGACCGCACUGCUGCGAUCAGCACGAAAUUCUAACGACCGGCCAUCCCGGCAAAAUUUUCGAAAUUAUUAAAUAAUUAAAUUUAAUUCCGAAAAUUAAAUAAUUAAAUAUUAUAUUAUAAUAAUAUAAUAUAAUAAAAUAAUAUUUAAAAAUUCGAAAUAAUUAUUUAAUUAAAAAUAAUCAAUUAGGGCUUAAAUUAGAUUACACUAAUUUAAACAUACAAUUAGCCCUAAUUAAACAUCCAUUAAACUAAUCAUACAACUAAUCUAAUUUACAUUAAAAUAAUUUAAUCUAACCACCUAAACCUAAUUAGACUAAUCUAAACACCCUUUAAGCAUGAUUAACUUGCUAAGCAAGGUUUAGAGGAUAAACUCACCGGUUUUGCGCGCCGGUGAGUUCACGGCGACCACGAUGCCAAGGCGGUCGAUAAACCCCCGAAACGGCGACACCAACAGAGGCCGGGAAGGGCUUGAAAACGGGCCACGAAGUCUGGAACUUCUUGCUGUCUUCUGCUUCUGAUCUGGACUGAACUGCAGAGAAGAAACCAGCAACUUCAACGGCGAAAACGGGCUGAUCGGAGCUCCGGCGAGCGGGUGGUUGGCAACCGGCGGCUCCCAGGGGUCAAGGGGAUCUUGCUGGUGGUUGGUAUGGGUGGAGGUAGGGUAGAAAUGGGGAGAAAAUGGCUGAAAACCGCGAAACGGGCGGAACAGGCGGAACCAGGCGAGUCCAGACGGUCCGGCGAUCGGCGGCUUCGGGAGGCCGUACGGGACAGCCGGAGAAUCGUUCCGGCGAGCGGUGAGAUGCUCCGGAACGGGCUGGAUGUCUUCUUCGCGGCGAUGGGUGGCUCGUUCGCUGAUUCAACCGGGAAGUUAACUUUUUACUCGGAUCUUUGGCGAAAGGUCGGCUGGAGCAGAAACUGAAACGAGGGGAAAACAGAGGAGGAAAUGGGGUCCGAUGGGCAUGCGACGGUGGAGGGCUGAUGCUGCUCGGUUCCUCUGGUUUUUGCUGAGCUUCUCUCCUUCAACAACAAUGGAG
rnacentral:lncRNA from 1 species